GAGCUAAAGAUCCUCUUCUUUUUUUUCCUUCUUUCCCAAUGGUAGUUUUUUUGGGCAGUUAUGAGCUUUCUUUGUACAUCUUGCUUAAAUUAUUCUAAUUCUGUUGUUGCUGCAGCUUUUUCUAUUAGUUUAGAGUAUGAAGUAGAUUGUUAUUUGAUGUACUAUUAGUUUAUUAACAUAAUGAUCUUAUGUUCCUCGUGCCUGGUUAAAUGUCUACUGGCGUAAAGAAUUAUCUUUUAAAGCCAGUUACGGGAUCGAAACAUACUUACGUGCUUAUCAGAUAGUAGUAAGUAACAAGUUUUUCUCUGAUUGAAGUUUCAUAGAUUACAGAAUUGAUGGAUUUCAAUUAUAUUUUGCACAAUAUACGACAAGCAUUGCAUACAUUUCCUUUACCCUAGGGCCUAGACUUAUUGGGCAAACUUCAUUUUCGCCCAUGAGGUUUACCUGAUGUGAAGAUUACCUUUUUGACUUCCAAUAGUAUGCACACAACCCCCUCCCUGUAAUUUCUGGAUGAGAACACAAAACUUACUCUGUUAACGGAAUAAAGAGUACGAAGAUAAUCCUUCCCCCCCACCCCCCGCGCAGCCGCAUCACCCGGUGCUGCUGCACCUCCCCUCUAGUCCACCCAUCCCAUUCUCCCUCACCAGCAACUGCACAACUCCUUCCCCUCUACCCUGGUUAUGAACAUGGCUAUGUAUCCGUUUCUGAACACAUACAUGAAUAUUGUGCGUGUUGUGUGUGGGGACCAUGGGGGAGGGGGAGAAGACGGAGUAGGGUCGAAUUGGGAAGGUUCAGGAGCCAACACCCGAUCUUUCUCAAUUGUUUCUCUGCCUCAUGCAUGUCAGUAACCACCUCAGACGUUAACAUUGUUAUGUGUACUUGUUUAGGUAUCAUUGAUUGAAAAUUCCAAUAUCGGUAUACAUCCUUAUUUGAGCUUUUAUUUGCUUCAUGGGAAGAGGAAGAAGACAAUAACUUUUUUGAAAUUUUGAGGAACUGAUAAGAUGUGUGUUCUGAAAAA